rnacentral:rRNA from 1 species
CCUACGGGUGGCAGCAGUGGGGAAUAUUGGACAAUGGGGGGAACCCUGAUCCAGCCAUGCCGCGUGUGUGAAGAAGGCCCUCGGGUUGUAAAGCACUUUCAGUGAGGAAGAACGCCUGGUGGUUAAUACCCAUCAGGAAAGACAUCACUCACAGAAGAAGCACCGGCUAACUCCGUGCCAGCAGCCGCGGUAAUACGGAGGGUGCGAGCGUUAAUCGGAAUUACUGGGCGUAAAGCGCGCGUAGGUGGCUUGAUAAGCCGGUUGUGAAAGCCCCGGGCUCAACCUGGGAACGGCAUCCGGAACUGUCAAGCUAGAGUGUAGGAGAGGAAGGUAGAAUUCCCGGUGUAGCGGUGAAAUGCGUAGAGAUCGGGAGGAAUACCAGUGGCGAAGGCGGCCUUCUGGACUGACACUGACACUGAGGUGCGAAAGCGUGGGUAGCAAACAGGAUUAGAUACCCUAGUAGUC